rnacentral:rRNA from 1 species
AUUGAACGCUGGCGGCAGGCCUAACACAUGCAAGUCGAGCGAGCGGCGGACGGGUGAGUAAUGUCUGGGAAACCGCCUGAAGGAGGGGGAUAAAUACUGGAAACGGUAGCUAAUACCGCAUACCAUUCGAUUGGCCCAGAUGGGAUUAGCUAGUUGGUGGGGUAACGGCUCACCUCGGCGACGAUCCCUAGCUGGUCUGCGAGGAUGACAAGCCACACUGGAACUGAGACACGGUCCAGACGCCUACGGUAGGCAGCAGUGGGGAAUAUUGCACAAGGGGCGCAAGCCUGAUGCAGCCAUGCCGCGUGUGUGAGGAAGGCCUUCGGGUUUUAAAGCACUUUCAGCGGGGAGGCGUUACCCGCAGAAGAAGCACCGGCUAACUCCGUGCCAGCAGCCGCGGUAAUUC